rnacentral:lncRNA from 1 species
GCUAAGUCAAAGGUGGGAGGAUGUACCAAAAAAAUCAUAGGAGGUGGGACUAAAAAAAACCUGGAAGCGAGACUACCAACUGCUCCAUUAGGAGUAGAGAUUGUAGUAGUGUUCAAAACUGCAUGCAGGCACUAACACGUUCUCUUCUUUUGUAGAUAAUAAUAGGCAUGUAGGUGGAUAAUGUUUAUAACGACAAUCACAUCGAAUGCCUGGAUCUGCAUCUCUCAAAUAUUACUUUCAACUCCUACCGAGGGACCUUACCGGAGAUUACACUCGCCAGGUUCUUUCUUGCCAGAGAAAGGGUGUUGAGGGUACUGAGGUUGAACACGCAUUUAAUUAGGAAAGAUGAAUGGUAUGUUGAUCAGAGCCGGCAGGUACUGCAGAAUGGAAGAGGCUCCAAAAAAGCUAAACUUCGUAUUGGAAGAGCAUAUGACAGAGUAAUUUGGAAGUCAUUGUGUCAAACCCAUACAUGACUUGUCAGCGACUGAUCCCUUUGCAGAAAUGACGAAGUAUGCAAUGUGUGAAUUUGGGCAUUGUAAUCUUUGAAUUUGAACCUUGCAAUCUUCAUGGUAUUUAUUAUAUUGAACCGUUUCUGUUCUCUUGUCUCAACACAAACAGUUCAUCCCAGUGAACCGCAUGUCGUAUAUCGCACACACCUUGAUCUGGCUGACCGUUUCUUUUGUGUUGCCUAAUCACAAAC